CGGGACACGUGGUAUCCUGUCUGAAUAUGGGGGGACCAUCCUCCAAGGCUAAAUACUCCUGACUGACCGAUAGUGAACCAGUACCGUGAGGGAAAGGCGAAAAGAACCCCGGCGAGGGGAGUGAAAAAGAACCUGAAACCGUGUACGUACAAGCAGUGGGAGCCUCUUAAUGGGGUGACUGCGUACCUUUUGUAUAAUGGGUCAGCGACUUAUAUUCUGUAGCAAGGUUAACCGAAUAGGGGAGCCGAAGGGAAACCGAGUCUUAACUGGGCGUUAAGUUGCAGGGUAUAGACCCGAAACCCGGUGAUCUAGCCAUGGGCAGGUUGAAGGUUGGGUAACACUAACUGGAGGACCGAACCGACUAAUGUUGAAAAAUUAGCGGAUGACUUGUGGCUGGGGGUGAAAGGCCAAUCAAACCGGGAGAUAGCUGGUUCUCCCCGAAAGCUAUUUAGGUAGCGCCUCGUGAAUUCAUCUCCGGGGGUAGAGCACUGUUUCGGCAAGGGGGUCAUCCCGACUUACCAACCCGAUGCAAACUGCGAAUACCGGAGAAUGUUAUCACGGGAGACACACGGCGGGUGCUAACGUCCGUCGUGAAGAGGGAAACAACCCAGACCGCCAGCUAAGGUCCCAAAGUCAUGGUUAAGUGGGAAACGAUGUGGGAA
rnacentral:rRNA from 1 species